rnacentral:lncRNA from 1 species
CUAGGGGUGAUCUCAGGCGCUUAAAAACUUCCAUUUGUUGUUGAAAAAGAUAUAGAAUAUAUCAUAAUACUUUGAAUUUUCUGAUAAAGAUAGAUUACAAUCACUUCUAUCUUCAUUUGAUAGUAUGGAGCUUCAUGUACCUUUCAUUAAAAAGGUUGCACUAUUAAAGGAGAGGAGACAAAAAACCUGCAUGAAUAAUACUGUUAUAUAUACUAC